rnacentral:rRNA from 1 species
AGAAUCUUUCGCAAUGGGCGCAAGCCUGACGAAGCGACGCCGUGUGAGCGAAGAAGGCCUUCGGGUUGUAAAGCUCUUUCGCUAGGGAACAAGAAAGUCUGGCUAAUAGUCAGAUGAUUUGAUGGUACUUGGUAAAGAAGCACCGGCUAACUCCGUGCCAGCAGCUGCGGUAAUACGGAGGGUGCAAGCAUUGAUCGGAAUUACUGGGCGUAAAGGGCGCGUAGGCGGCUUUGAAAGUCAGAUGUGAAAUUCUGGGGCUCAACCCCAGAGCUGCAUUUGAAACUUCAGAGCUUAGAGGAUGGUGAGGGAAAACGGAAUUCCACGUGUAGCGGUGAAAUGCGUAGAUAUGUGGAAGAACACCAGUGGUGAAGACGGUUUUCUGUGCCAAACCAGACGCUGAAGCGCGAAAGCUAGGGGAGCAAAC